AACAUUAUAUCAGGACCUAUAGACACCUGGAGAGAACACAACAUUAUAUCAGGACCUAUAGACACCUGGACCAACCUGGAGAGAACACAACCGAAAGGUUGCAAGAUCAAAUCCCCGAGCUGACAAGGAUCUAUCUCUUCAACACACAUUGUGAGUCCAGACACAGGAAACAACGAAGGGGGUUGUCAUGGUGACGGUGACUAUGAAGAGAUAAAGGAGCGCCCCCUAAGGUCAGACUCAGGCGCUGCGACCUCUACUAUCUACGCCACUGCCAACUUACCCAUAAGCUACUCUGAGUCUCUCCUCUACACCAGCGUCAACUUCCACAAGAACCCCAGUAGCCCCAAUGAAGCCAGAGUCACCGUCACUAAAGAGGGCAGCUGCCCCAAUGAAGCCACCGCUGCCUUUGCUAAAGAGGGCACUUCAUCAUGUGACUAUGCUACUGUGAACUUUGGUCAAAGCCCCGCCUAAUCUACUGUCAAUCAUCCACACAGCUCCUCUGAGGCUCCUCCCAUCUACUCCACAAUCAGCAAACCCAGAGACACUUGAGUCACUGGCAACCAAUCACAAGAUACAUACACUCACUGGCCACCAAUCACAAGAGACAUAUUUUAACUAUAUGCGCUGACCUCUACUUUGAGCAAAUUUCUCUUUUACUUUUUUUUAUGUCUCUCUCUUGCUCACGGUCUCUGCCAGUCUCUUUCUCUCUCUCUCUCUACUUCCUGUUCUCUCACUGACAGUCAGUUUUCAUGUCUUGCCCGGGUGAGCGCAGGUUUCACUUGAUGGGCAAUUUAGGAGCCCGGCGGCGAAGGUUGAAUGCCCUGCUCAAAACUGGCAGGGAAUCUCCAUAAAGGGGUGGAGUCAACAAACUCCGCCUUCACAGUUUAAGUUGUUCUAUUGGUUUACUGAGAUCUCAGAAGCUUGUCUGUUAUGCGAUGACAUCAUUCAUUAAGGGGGAGUUGGGUUGUAGAGGAGGGAUGUUUCUU